GUGACCUCAAAUCAGGUAGGACUACCCGCUGAACUUAAGCAUAUCAAUAAGCGGAGGAAAAGAAACUAACAAGGAUUCCCCUAGUAACUGCGAGUGAAGCGGGAAAAGCUCAAAUUUAAAAUCUGGCGGUCUUUUGGCUGUCCGAGUUGUAAUCUAGAGAAGUGUUAUCCGCGCUGGACCGUGUACAAGUCUCCUGGAAUGGAGCAUCAUAGAGGGUGAGAAUCCCGUCUUUGACAUGGACUGCCAGGGCUUUGUGAUGCGCUCUCAAAGAGUCGAGUUGUUUGGGAAUGCAGCUCAAAAUGGGUGGUAAAUUCCAUCUAAAGCUAAAUAUUGGCGAGAGACCGAUAGCGAACAAGUACCGUGAGGGAAAGAUGAAAAGAACUUUGGAAAGAGAGUUAAACAGUACGUGAAAUUGCUGAAAGGGAAACGCUUGAAGUCAGUCACGUCGUCCAGGGAUCAACCUUGCUUUUGCUUGGUGCACUUUCUGGUUUGACGGGUCAGCAUCAAUUUUGACUAUUGGAAAAAGGCUCUAGGGAAUGUGGCAUCUUCGGAUGUGUUAUAGCCCUUGGUCAUAUACAAUGGUUGGGAUUGAGGAACUCAGCACGCCGCAAGGCCGGGUUUUAUACCACGUACGUGCUUAGGAUGCUGGCAAAAUGGCUUUAAUCGACCCGUC
rnacentral:rRNA from 1 species